ACUGACUCUUAAUCAGUGGGUCCAGGGUUCGAGUCCCUGAAGCUGUA
rnacentral:tRNA from 1 species